rnacentral:rRNA from 1 species
AGAGUUUGAUCAUGGCUCAGAACGAACGCUGGCGGCAGGCUUAACACAUGCAAGUCGAGCGCCCCGCGAGGGGAGCGGCAGACGGUGAGUAACGCGUGGGGAUGUACCCAAAGGUGCGGAAUAACUCAGGGAAACUUGAGCUAAUCCGCAUGUGCCCGAGAGGGGAAAGAUUUAUCGCCUUUGGAUCAACCCGCGUCAGAUUAGCUAGUUGGUAGGGUAAUGGCCUACCAAGGCGACGAUCUGUAGCUGGUCUGAGAGGAUGAUCAGCCACACUGGGACUGAGACACGGCCCAGACUCCUACGGGAGGCAGCAGUGGGGAAUAUUGGACAAUGGGGCAAGCCUGAUCCAGCCAUGCCGCGUGAGUGAUGACGGCCUUAGGGUUGUAAAGCUCUUUUAACAGGGACGAUAAUGACGGUACCUGUAGAAUAAGCCCCGGCUAACUUCGUGCCAGCAGCCGCGGUAAUACGAAGGGGGCUAGCGUUGUUCGGAAUCACUGGGCGUAAAGCGCACGUAGGCGGAUUGUUAAGUCGGGGGUGAAAUCCUGAGGCUCAACCUCAGAACUGCCUUCGAUACUGGCGAUCUUGAGUUCGGAAGAGGUUGGUGGAACAGCUAGUGUAGAGGUGAAAUUCGUAGAUAUUAGCUAGAACACCAGUGGCGAAGGCGGCCNCUGGUCCGAUACUGACGCUGAGGUCGAAAGCGUGGGGANNAAACAGGAUUAGAUACCCUAGUAGUCC